AUUGAACGCUGGCAGCAUGCUUUACACAUGCAAGUCGAACGGUAACAGGCCGCAAGGUGCUGACGAGUGGCGAACGGGUGAGUAAUGCAUCGGAACGUGCCCAGUCGUGGGGGAUAACGCAGCGAAAGCUGUGCUAAUACCGCAUACGAUCUAUGGAUGAAAGCGGGGGACCGUAAGGCCUCGCGCGAUUGGAGCGGCCGAUGUCAGAUUAGGUAGUUGGUGGGGGAAAGGCCCACCAAGCCGACGGUCUGUAGCUGGUCUGAGAGGACGACCAGCCACACUGGGACUGAGACACGGCCCAGACUCCUACGGGAGGCAGCAGUGGGGAAUUUUGGACAAUGGGCGCAAGCCUGAUCCAGCAAUGCCGCGUGCAGGAAGAAGGCCUUCGGGUUGUAAACUGCUUUUGUACGGAACGAAACGGUCUGGGUUAAUACCCUGGGCUAACGACGGUACCGUAAGAAUAAGCACCGGCUAACUACGUGCCAGCAGCCGCAGUAAUAC
rnacentral:rRNA from 1 species